UACGUAGGGGGCAAGCGUUGUCCGGAAUUAUUGGGCGUAAAGCGCGCGCAGGCGGUUAUUUAAGUCUGGGGUUUAAACCUUGGGCUCAACCUGAGGUCGCACUGGAAACUGGGUGACCUGAGUACAGAAGAGGAAAGUGGAAUUCCACGUGUAGCGGUGAAAUGCGUAGAUAUGUGGAGGAACACCAGUGGCGAAGGCGACUUUCUGGGCUGUAACUGACGCUGAGGCGCGAAAGCGUGGGGAGCAAACAGG
rnacentral:rRNA from 1 species